CAAAAUGUGAACUAUUAGAUUAAUUCAAUCCAACAGUUACAAAUUGUCCAAGAGACAAAUUAUCUUUCAAUGGUUGAGAUUGUUUGUUCACAUCCUACGGUGGAUAUACAUUCUUCCCUUCCAUCCCUUUCUCUUCAACUAGCUCUCUCUCUGUCUCAUUCAAAAUUCAAAAUUGAGUUGUCUCCCUCGUCUCUCACUCUCAGAGCUCACUCUUCCUCUUCAAUCUCGCUGGCAACGGUCACAGCCUCACCCCUAUCAGUCACUCAUUCCCCCAAAAACCUAAUACAUAGCAGAUCGGCGACUUCGCAGAUGGUGGGUUUGUUUGGAGGGGAGGAUUUUCAACGUCACGGCCCCAUCAGUUUCUCAAUGCUCAAUAGUGGCGAUUUGCAGAAUGAUGAUGAGUUGUGGUGCACAGCGGAUGUGAGCAGUGGGUUUUGUUUUGGGGUUCACAUUAGAGAGCUUGAGGAAGAAGUGAAACUUCUUAACAACCUUUUGCAUCUGAACAUUGUGCUAUUAUGGCAGUUUGGAAGCUGAUUUCAAUAAUUUCUUACUUCCAUGAUUCUUUGAUUUUGAAGACCAACACAUGCUCUACAUAGUUGAUUUGUGGUGAUUCUCUCUCUCUCUCUCUCUCUCUCUCUCUCAAGAUUUAUAUUUAAUGGGUUCAAUAAUUUUUUUGUGGUGAGCACCCAAACUUAGAUUUUUAGAUAUAUUUUCCAUGUGAAUGGGUUGUUAUUUCGUGCUUUUAAUGGUAUAUUAGUAUUAGGAUUUUGGGGUUUUUAAUAUGUUGUUAUUGCAUUAUUGUACAAAGAGGUUUUCAUUUGAACCUUUCUCACCUCCCCCCCCCCAAUAUUUAAUGUAUAUUUGUAAUCUCAUCAUACACCACAGUUGAGCCCACGUGUGUUUGGAUUUUGUUUUAGGUUAAAGAUUCAUAAUGGAAUGACUCCCACUCACUUCCACCCCCUAUCUCAGUUAAAUCUAAAUAAAAUUUCGGUUUUGUUUAAUUGGUACAAAUGUAUUCAAUUUUCAUAGAAUUCGAAACUUUACCAAUAUAAGCUAUUUCAGGUUGAGGCAUGAGUUAUAGAUAUAAAAGGUAAAUUCAUGACUUAAUUUGUUUUAUACUUCUAGAAGUUGAGUUGGAGUUUUUAUUUACUUAGAUUUCAAAUUCAUGGCUUCUUUGUGUUAAUGAUUAGCCUGCUAUUUGUUAGCUUUCUAUUUGUUAGCCUGCUUUCAAUUUGAUUUCCAAAUUCUAUUUUUUUCAUAGUGUAAUGAUUUAACUAUGUUUAUUGUGGAAUCUAACCUCUUUUUGUUCUUGGUAUUAUUGAUUGGUAGGUUAUUGAUAUUGACAUAAAACAGUGCAUCGUUAGCUUAAAUUUCAUAUUAUUAGUUUGGCAUCUGCAUAUAUGUGUGGUUUUGAUUGAUUGCUUGCUUGAAUUAUAUGGUUUGAUUUUUUGUCUAAAGAAACUAAUAAAAUGCAUAGGAAAACAAUGUCCUAUUCAAUUUAGUUAAAUUGAUAGUAUUGGGUGAUAGUAAAAUGAAUAUAUACUGUCUUUUGGGUAUAAAUAGGACAGUUUUAUGAUUUCAUCAUAAAUUUUAUCAUUUUUACAUGAAUAAUCAAAUGAAAUUGGGAAGUUUGAACUAAAAAGUUUUGUGGAUGGGGCUGUUUUGUUGAGUAUUGCUCAUUUGGGAAUUUAAUUUUGUUUUUGCAUGUAACCUUUGUUAUUAAGUGAUUUUGAAUAGAGCUUUAAUAGAGUUAAUAACAGUUGUUGAUUCACUUCCUUCCUCUCUCAGCUAAAUCUCAAUUUGCUUUUUAAUUUUUUAUAUUAUAUGUUUUUUUCCCCCCUUACAUUUUGUCUAAAUUAAAUCUAAACCACAAAAAAUAGGAGAUUUGUCAUGUCAUCAAAAAAUAAGAAUUGUUUUUACCAGAUUUGUCAUGCUCAUCAAUUUAGCAUGGACUACCAUAUUUGUUCUUGUAUGUGGGAGAUUUUUUUUUUCCUGCAUGUGGAUAUUGACCCAAGGGCACAACAAGAUGGAUGAUUUGAUACUCAUGGAUUUUCUUUCUUAUGUUCAUUUUUAUAUUAGUUUAAAUGCAUUUGUAAUUUCUGAUCUUAUUUCUUUUAAUGGGAUUCAGUGGAUAAACAAGAGGAUAGUGUACUACUAAUGUUUGUUUAAGAUCUUAGAUUUUCAGGAUUUUAGCAUUCCCAUGUGUAAAUCGUGUGUCGCCAAUAGUUUGUUUGGAUUUUAUUGAGUUUCAACUCUUUUUUGGUUAGUGCUUUGAUUGGUUAUUAUUUGGAUGCCAUAUAGGAGUGCUCUAAAUCAUAAAACAGGGCACCUGAUUUUUGCAAAUUGGUCAUCAGGUCAUGGACUGAGUACACACACUAAGGAAAAUCAUAUUUAAUUAGAACAUAUUUAUUUGAAGUUGUGUUUGGAUCAACCGAGGACGCUGAGCUAGGAUAAGUUCUAUGUUUUAAUUUCUUCAAGAAAGAAAUGCUAAGAUUGUUUCGAUGGGGAUGCAAUAAGAUUGUUGUACAUGCUCCUCAUUGGGGAUACAUAGAAGUUGAUACAAAGACUUUUUGGAAAGUGAUGAGGCGCUUCUACGAAUUCUAAGAAAGAACAAGUUUGAAGAUCAUAUUUAUUUUUGUGAAAAGCGUACAUAUGCAGCUACGAUAUAGAUUUUGUAAAGUUUCCUAUCUAUGUGAAUUUUAGUUUUGUAAAGCCUUUUAUCUCUGUGCAAUUUAUAACUAAGUUUAAAUGUAUGUUGUAUAAUAUUCAUUUGAAUUAUUCACUCGGUCAUACAGCCUUUUUUUUCUUUUUUCUUCCUAAUAUGCUCUUGAAUUUGCUUAAAAUCAAUUUUUUUUUUUGGUUGAAUUUGAAUUUUUGCUUCUUUAUAUAUUUUUAGCAGGAAGGGUG